GUAUAUAUAAUUUAGAUAAAAUAUUAAACUGUGACUUUAAUUAUGAGAGUUAAAACCUCUCUAUAAACCGAG
rnacentral:tRNA from 1 species